rnacentral:rRNA from 1 species
UACGGAGGGUGCUAGCGUUGUUCGGAAUUACUGGGCGUAAAGGGCGCGUAGGCGGUGUGUCAAGUCAGGCGUGAAAGCCCCGGGCUCAACCUGGGAACCGCGCUUGAGACUGGCACGCUCGAGUUCGGGAGAGGAUGGUGGAAUUCCCAGUGUAGAGGUGAAAUUCGUAGAUAUUGGGAAGAACACCGAUGGCGAAGGCAGCCAUCUGGGACCGACACUGACGCUGAGGCGCGAAAGCGUGGGGAGCAAACAGG